rnacentral:rRNA from 1 species
GACGAACGCUGGCGGCGUGCUUAACACAUGCAAGUCGAACGGAAAGGCCCCCUUAUGGGGUACUCGAGUGGCGAACGGGUGAGUAACACGUGAGUAACCUACCCUUGACUUUGGGAUAACUUCAGGAAACUGGGGCUAAUACCGGAUAGGAGCUCCUGCUGCAUGGUGGGGGUUGGAAAGUUUCGGCGGUUGGGGAUGGACUCGCGGCUUAUCAGCUUGUUGGUGGGGUAGUGGCUCACCAAGGCUUUGACGGGUAGCCGGCCUGAGAGGGUGACCGGCCACAUUGGGACUGAGAUACGGCCCAGACUCCUACGGGAGGCAGCAGUGGGGAAUAUUGCACAAUGGGCGGAAGCCUGAUGCAGCAACGCCGCGUGCGGGAUGACGGCCUUCGGGUUGUAAACCGCUUUCGCCUGUGACGAAGCGUGAGUGACGGUAAUGGGUAAAGAAGCACCGGCUAACUACG